rnacentral:rRNA from 1 species
AUUGAACGCUGGCGGCAGGCCUAACACAUGCAAGUCGAACGGUAACAGGAAGAAGCUUGCUUCUUUGCUGACGAGUGGCGGACGGGUGAGUAAUGUCUGGGAAACUGCCUGAUGGAGGGGGAUAACUACUGGAAACGGUAGCUAAUACCGCAUAACGUCGCAAGACCAAGGAGGGGGACCUUCGGGCCUCUUGCCAUCGGAUGUGCCCAGAUGGGAUUAGCUUGUUGGUGGGGUAACGGCUCACCAAGGCGACGAUCCCUAGCUGGUCUGAGAGGAUGACCAGCCACACUGGAACUGAGACACGGUCCAGACUCCUACGGGAGGCAGCAGUGGGGAAUAUUGCACAAUGGGCGCAAGCCUGAUGCAGCCAUGCCGCGUGUAUGAAGAAGGCCUUCGGGUUGUAAAGUACUUUCAGCGGGGAGGAAGGGAGUAAAGUUAAUACCUUUGCUCAUUGACGUUACCCGCAGAAGAAGCACCGGCUAACUCCGUG